AAACGUCUGUGAAUUCGUGCCCAAGUGUUCUGUACAGGUGCUAAAAAGUGAGAUAAUUGAUAUGACAAACGGUGCAAUCGCAGGCUAAUUCGAUUGAUCUGAAAUACGAGGAAAUACUGGAAUCGAAGUUUAUUUCGAUCGGCGAGAAAACAGAAGCCAUUAAAACGUCUAGUAUCGUGUAGACAUAUACCUUUGAAGUUUGUACUUGAUUACAAACAAAAGAAGAAAAAUAGCAGAAGAAUGGCAAUAAACAAUGACGCAUUGAUUGCAAUUAUCAACGAUUUUCUGGAUUCGUCCGAUAAGUGAUUCUGAAAGCGAUGAUGAAUUGUUAACAGAUGCAAAUAAAAUAAUUCGCGGCAAAAGGCCAAGAUUGUACAGUAUACGUUAGAAUUAGUUUAUAUUUAUUUCAGAAGUUACAACACACAUAUAUUUGAGUAUUCAAUCAUUACAUGUAAUAACUGUUUGAAUAUUAUUGUUUAAAUAAAAUCUUUUUGAACAGAAAAA